UUUAGGGUUUAUAAUUUAUGAUUUACGGUUUUAGGGUUAAUUUAGGGUUUAUAGCUUAGGGUGCAUGUUUAGGGUAUAAAGUUUAAGGUUUAUGGUUUAGUGUUAAGAGUUUAGUGUUUACGAUUUAUGGUGUAGGUUUAUGGUCUAGUGUUUAUUGUUUAGGGUUUAAGAGGUUAAAGUUUAAAAGUUACGGGUUUAGAGUCUAAGGG
rnacentral:lncRNA from 1 species